GAGGAAGCAUUGAAGCUAGAGAAGGAGAAGUUGUACCAGGCCAUUGGUUAUAGUGAGAAAGGAAAAGCAGCAGAUUAUCCUAAAGAAUAUGUAGCUCAUGUUGUUAAUCUGGAUGUAUUGUCUGUGUCACUCAAUCUUCAAUCGGAGGGUGUGAGUAUUAGCCAGUUGUCCAUCAGUGAUAUUAACUGUCAGUUUCAAAACAGGCCAGCAUCCAAGAAUAUCAGGUAUGCCGU